rnacentral:rRNA from 1 species
CAGUAGCCGCGGUAAUACAGAGGGUGCAAGCGUUAAUCGGAAUUACUGGGCGUAAAGCGCGCGUAGGUGGUUUGUUAAGUUGGAUGUGAAAGCCCCGGGCUCAACCUGGGAACUGCAUCCAAAACAGGCAAGCUAGAGUACGGUAGAGGGUGGUGGAAUUUCCUGUGUAGCGGUGAAAUGCGUAGAUAUAGGAAGGAACACCAGUGGCGAAGGCGACCACCUGGACUGAUACUGACACUGAGGUGCGAAAGCGUGGGGAGCAAACAGGAUUAGAUACCCCCGUAGUCCCUGUCUCUUAUAC